GAUGAAGAACGUAGCGAAAUGCGAUAAGUAAUGUGAAUUGCAGAAUUCAGUGAAUCAUCGAAUCUUUGAACGCACAUUGCGCCCGCCAGCAUUCUGGCGGGCAUGCCUGUUCGAGCGUCAUUUCAACCCUCGAGCCCCCCCGGGGGCCUCGGUGUUGGGGGACGGCACACCAGCCGCCCCCGAAAUGCAGUGGCGACCCCGCCGCAGCCUCCCCUGCGUAGUAGCACACACCUCGCACCGGAGCGCGGAGGCGGUCACGCCGUAAAACACCCAACUCUUCUGAAGUUGACCUCGAAUCAGGUAGGAAUACCCGCUGAACUUAAGCAUAUCAAUAAGCGGAGGA
rnacentral:misc_RNA from 1 species